AUGGGGUGCACUUUUCUUAGGGCAAUUCUAGGCAAGACCUUGAAUCACAGGGUUUGUUCCUGGCAACCCAGCAUUCUUUAUCUUGGCGUAGAUUGGUGUGAUGGGACGGAUGCUGUGAAAAAGCUUUUUUCUUUGACCGGAAUCAACAGGUGGGCAGAAGGAGCUGGAGGCCAACAAGGAAUAGAAGAAGCUGAUUUGACAAUGGAUUUGUCUUCCUCGGUCUCUUCAAACUUUUCCAAUCCUGCUAUUUUCCCCAAAUGGUUGUUCGCUUGUGUGCUUAUUUUCCUUCCCCACUCAAAAACAAGUGUUACAGAAUGUUCUUCAAUUCAAAUAGGUAUGACCCCAUCAGAUCCACCGGACCAGAAACUCAAUUCCGCACUGCUGCUGAGUCGUCGAACUUAUCCACCUCAGGGAUUCGUGGAUUUUCCUCCUCUCACUACCAACCAGCAAACAUCAUCAUCUGGCUGGGUCUUGCCGGGGAGAUCAAAACAAGAAGUCACGCCUAGACGACGACACCCGUCCUGGGCUGCAGUAAGUAGAUCGAGAGGUCGUUCCGCCCCUUGUCCCCGAAGAUGGGGCCUAGCUGGCGAGCGAUCCCAGUCCGCGGCAGAGAACAAGACAGCAAGCGAGCGUACCUUUGUUCGCUUCUUUUCCACCAAGCACAAAAGUUUAAGGAGAACUUUAGGUCGGUGGCUACCUAAGGAAACUCCGAUUCGAUCCCCCCCCCCCCGGCUGGGAGGCAUCUACCUCAUCCCGAUCACAAGGAGAUGUUCACCAUGA
rnacentral:rRNA from 1 species